rnacentral:lncRNA from 1 species
GGUGGAGGUAUGUAGGGAAGGGAGAGGGCAGGAUAAAGCUGACCGUGAGAAAGGGAGACAGAUGAGUUGGGAACUAGACAGGUCUGGAAAAGAAGCACAACAGAAGCAGGAAAAGUGUGGGAGACAGAAAACUAGACUAUCAGCGAAAUCUAAGAUCCAAGAAUUGCAUUUGGCCAGUGAGAGAGGACAGAGGUAGUGCGAGGAGGAAGGGAGAAGAAAGCAAAGGAAGGAAUAGAGGAGGGUGGACAGAAAUUAGGUCAGGUAGGAAGCUCCAGAAAUCCUAGGGAUGCACUUCUGUGGCAGAAGAAUAGAAGUCUAGUGCUCAGUAUUGUAAUGAAAACAAAGGUCUUUUGCCCUCAGAUUCAUGAUCAAUAAAAUGAAAAGCUUUUCAGGUCCUGUGGAGCCUCCAGGUUUGUGGGAGGUAUAUGGUGUGUGUUAUUAAACAGCUACCUACCCCACAGUGACUGAGGGCUGAGCCCUUAUGUAGGGCUUUCCUACACAAGCUGGGGUUGGGAGGUACAGGCCCCUCUUCAACCAAUCUCUGGAAUGCAUUCAGAACCAUGGAGACCUCAGGACCCCACUCUCGGCAGAACACGCAACACCCAGCUCUUUUUCUCUGAAGACAGAUGGGGAACGUGAAGGCUAUCUUCUGGCUGGAUGAAGCAUCUAGGUGAUAGAAAAGAAAUCCAGAGACAGGGUGAGGAAGGGAGGCAGGAGUUGCUUUUUAUUGACUUGGAAGUGGGCUCUUCAGUGAAGCCCCUUUGGGUUUAAGAGCAUUUUCCUGCUUCCUUUGUUCUUCCUGCAACUUCUGCUGCCUGAGCUGCCAUGCUUGUAAUCCAGCGUCCAUUUCCUGUGACAGCAGUACAACUCGUCUCUGAAACAGACAGGAAAACAGUGUGGAUAACAUCUGGGACUUCAGCGCUAUACUAUAUAUCCUUCCACUUACAAAUUCAGAGGUUUCAUCUGGAAAAUGACGCUGCUGACUCCCCAGUGGGAGCGAGUUCUGGCUUGGGAAGCAGAGGGAGACAGCAAAAUGUGCAGCAGGAUGUCUACUACUGGUUCCUGUCCUGGGAGUGCCCCACUCUCUUCCUCCCUUCUCACAGUGCUAUUAAAACCUUUGGCUGGGGCCAGGCAUGGUGGCCCACACCUGUAAUCCCAGCACUUUGGGAGGCUGAGGCAGGCGGAUCACCUGAGGUGGGGAGUUCAAGACCAGUCUGACCAACAUAGAAAAACCCUGUCUCUACUAAAAAUACAAAGUUAGCUGGGUGUGGUGGCACACGUGUGUAAUCCCAGCUACUCAGGAGGCUGAGGCUGGAGAAUCGCUUGAACCCGGGAGUAGGUUGAAGUGAGCUGAGAUAGCGCCAUUGCACUCCAGCCUGGGCAUCAAGAGCGAAACUCCGUCUCACAAAAAACAAAAACAAAAACAAAAAAAACCUUUGGCUGUUAUUAAUAAAACCUCUGUAUGAGGGGUACAUGUUUGCUUAGGUGCAACACAGCUCAAGACAAAUUAUGAUUUAAAUGUUCUCCUUCCAGGUAGCCCUGGCUGUUGCUCUAACCACUCACUGCAAACGUCUCCCUUUCAGCUUUUCUUCGAAGCUGGCCUUUCAUUGGGGGAGCAGGGCGGCCAUCUACAAGUAGAAGUGAGAGAAAAGUCAAGUGUUAGAGAUGGACUGCAUCACCUUGUGCAAAUACUGUGAUAGGAAUAAGGGAAGAACCAAUCUCUAGCUCCUCUCUUCCAUUUCAUAUACAUUGUAGCUUAAUUAUCCUAAAAUAUGUCCAUCAUCUUCAAGGGUGAGGUACGAUAACCCAGAAUAAGCUCCUAGACAUAUUACUACUCUAUUUCAUUUUAUUUCAUUUAUUUAUUAUUUUUUGAGACAGUCUCGCUCUGUUGCCAGGUAGGAGUGCAGUGGUGCAAUCUCAGCUCACUGCAACCUCUGCCUCCCGGGUUCAAGAGAUUAUCCUGCCUCAGACUCCCGAGUAGCUGGGACUACAAACACGUGCCACCAUCCCUGGCUAAUUUUUGUAUUUUUAGUAGAGACGGGAUUUCACCAAGUUGGCCAGGAUAGUCUCGAUCUCUUGACCUCGUGAUCCACCUGCCUCGGCCUCCCAAAGUGCUGGGAUUACAAGCAUGAGCCACCGUGCUCGGCCUUUUUUAUUUUUUAUUUUGAGACAGACUUUUGCUCUUGUUGCCCAGGCUGGAGUGCAAUGGCAUGAUCUCAGCUCACCGCAACUUCCGCCUCCCAGGUUCAAGCAAUUCUCCUGCCUCAGCCUCCCGAGUAACUGGGAUUACAGGUGCGCACCACCACACCCGGCUAAUUUACUACUCUAUUUCACUGAACUCUCACUAGCCUUGUAUUUGAGGUCCUCUGCAAUGCUGAAUCUACUGUUUUGUCUUCAGAAACUCUUGGCCAGGCGUGGUGGCUCACACCUGUGAUCCCAGCACUUUGGGAGGCUGAGGCAGGCGGAUCACGAGGUCAGGAGAUUGAGACCAUCCUGGCUAACACGGUGAAACCCUGUCUCUACUAAAAAUACAAAAAAUUAGCCGGGCGUGGUGGUGGGCGCCUGUAGUCUCAACUACUAGGGAGGCUGAGGCAUGAGAAUGGCCUGAACCCGGGAGGCUGAGCUUGCAGUGAGCCAAGAUCGCACCACUGCACUCCAGCCUGGGCGACAGAGCCUGACUCCAUCUCAAAAAAAACAAAAAACAAAAAAAACCAGAAACUCUUAAGCAAUGUGAUCACUGUUGUUCUAUGUACCUUUGCUAAAUUCCAUCCCACUCCACAAUGAAAUGCCCUCUUUUCCUUUUCUUCCAGCCAAAUCUUCAUCCUUAGGUCCACUCAAACCCUAACUUUCCCAGAAACGCUCAUCUCUUCAAGUCCAUCAGCCUUCUCUUCUGAAAGAAGUACUGAAUAUUUAAUAUUCACCUAUUUGCCUUGGGACAUUUACUGUACUCUUCUGUUUUAUUUUUUUAAGUGUUAUUUAGCUACCUCAGGUCCUUUUGGAAAGGCGCAGAGUAUUGAAAUAUUAUUUAUUAUUAUUUUUGAGACAAGGUCUCGCUCCG